GCUGGGUAUGGUGGUGCAUGCCUGUAAUCCCAGCUACUCGGGAGGCUGAGGCAGGAGAAUCGCUUGAACCCAGGAGGUGGCGGUUGCAGUGAGCCAAGAUCAUGCCACUACACUCCAGCCUGGGCAACAGAGUGAGACUCUGUCUCAA
ensembl:misc_RNA Metazoa_SRP Metazoan signal recognition particle RNA